rnacentral:lncRNA from 1 species
GGGACUUCAGAAUAAUUACAACUAACCCAAUAUUCUAGUUGUUCUUUACGGCGAUAAGUAUUAGUUUACAUAGGAUAGGUAUCCCUCAUUCAGUUCAUAGUUGCCAUCAAGAGUUCAAUCAAUAGGCUUUCACUUUAGUUGUAUUCUUUGUCGAGAGUGAAGAGGUUCGUAUCGGAGUAGAAGAAUGGAAUGGAAAAGUCGUUCUUGUGAGCCUACCUUUAAGGAUUGCUGUUUCAUCCUUGUUGGAAUAUGAUCUAAACUCCCCACGUAGCUCUGUAAGCCUCUACGUAGUCUAUCUACAUGCUACCUUAAGGUCAAGUAGUCCCUAUCAGUCAGUUAUCUCUAAGAAGGAUGAAUAUUCCUUAUUGUCAAAUUGUACACUUAGAAGUGCUCGCUCUCAUAUCGGAUUAUCACUCUCUCUGGUAAGGGCCUUUUCUCUGACUUUGUCUUAUCUAUCCUCUCUGAGUCGUUUUCAAUCUUGUUUCAGCGGGUGAUAAGUCUGGGCUAAAUCAACCUAUCUCCUCAAGCAUGGAACUCAAGUCAUCGCGUAUGGAAAGGCAGGGUUAGCUUCUUCAAAAGGGUCUUGUCUUGGUGUCCCAGUUCAUUCGGAUUCUCUGAGUGGAGCAUAAAUGAGCCUAGCUUUACUGACCUCGCACCGAACUCUAAUAGCGUCUUGAGAUUAGCCCAAUGCCCACAAUAAAUGCGCUCUGGCAAACCACCUUCUGGUAAUGACUCGAUCUCUUUGUCUGUCGGAGCCCUUUCUUUCUCCCUAACGAAAAACACUUGAUUAGGCCUCUCCUCUGGUCUUCUUUCAUCUUAUAUUAUCUCUUUCUAACGUUGGUCAACAUUUGAUGAACUCGAUAGUGAGAUAUUACCAGAACUUUAUAGAAACACACUAUAUCGAGCUCCAUACAGAAGAUAGUAGACUGCUAUCGGCGGCUAUACUUCGAGCCCCCAUGGUAAUGAGUCACAGGAAGAUGGUAAUGAGUCACAGGAAGCUAGUUCUAUCACUUCUGCCCAAGUUCACUUCAGGCCUAUAUCAGAUAGAAAACACUUUUCAUUGUUUGACAAACCUAAUGGUUUAGAUGAAUGCAACGAGUAUAAGGGCGGCUUUCUGCUCUCCCCCGAAUUGCAAACCAGAACGCUUCGAAGGGCAGUGGUCCAAGGCCUCUCAUAUCCAUCAAUCAAAUAAUGUAGCUCCUUUACUUAUUGCCUGGCGGGUAACUACUAAUCUGGAUUUGAUAUAGUACGCCAGCUCAUAUACUAUCUGGCGAGAACUGGUGCGCUGGGCGAUCUCACUCUCUUCGCUUCGGGAUACUUUCUUUCAAUGGAGCCCGACUACUUCCUAAUCUUGUUAACCUCCGAAUUGAUUGAACAAUCUCCAAUACAUGUAGGUCCAGGGAAGUCUAAUCAAAGGGGGUCUCUUUAGCCGUCAACCGCUCCGUGGGUGUCUAAGCAAAGAUCUUCUCACUUUAUUGCUAUUCCAUUUCCAAUGGACCAUUCUAUUGUGGAUCCACCAUGAUCUUGGACUUCCCUAAGAAAGGCAACUGCAACUUAAGGUCGACAUCUCCAUAUCUCGUUCACUUGUGAGCUCGGUUCGGAAUAGUAUACUUCCCGGGCUGUCAAUGAAAAUAACCCAUUUCAAGAACUUAAGGUGCGCUCCGCCCUGAGAUAGCGCCAACCUCAAGUCAAGCGCUGGCUUUAGCUCCAAUCCUUGAAUGUAGAAAGCAAUGCUUCCAUCUGAUCCACGUUUCCGGGGAUAGCUCUACUGAUUCAAGAGAAGAAAGACAUAAUAUAGGCAGCUUUUGAUUAUCAUGAAUAUUCAGCGGAAGUGGAAUGUUAUAUAUUUCAGCAAUGGCAAUUCUCAUUGGAUCACUUAUUCCUUAUCUUAUUUUUGGAUUACCUUAUUGGAUCACUUAUUCCUUAUUCUUAGAUUACCUUAUUGGAUUACUUAUUCCUUAUUAUUGGAUUACUUCUUCCUUAGUUGUGGGAUCUCUCACGCUCUUCAUUUGACUUGGCCAUCUAGUCGAUACCAGCAAAAAGAUCUCUAAGAUCCUAGUCUUAUGCGCUCGAAAAGGAAAGGAGGCCUAUUUUCAUGUCCAAAGGUGUGUGUGAAGAAAGAAACCUUCUCCACCCACUACGGAAAACAUCGAUUUCCUGUAAAGAUCUUAUCAAUGGAACCUGUACUUCUAGCAUCUUUAUUCACGGGGCUAAGUUCGAGUUACCAACCCUAUUACUAAAGAGUUAGACCUACUUCCUUGUUGGACACCAGACGCGUGAGCCCUGCUCUUUGAAAGGGAGUAACCCGAUGCUUUAUUAUUCCAUUUCUACUUACCUCGUCUCGUCUUCUCUUCUUCCCUCAAACAUCUGCAGAUCUGAGUUGAGUGCUUCUCUGUCGAAAGAACAGAUUCAUUGUUGGAAGCUAAUUCUUCUUCUCGCCGCCUUGUCUGUACACCAAUGCCAAUGGCUAAUUCUGCUUUUUCAUCCUGGAGCGAGUUAGCCGUCGCUUUUUCUUCUUUUACUUUACCGAGCCGAGCCAACCACUUUGCUCUCGUAUGCCGAGCCAACCACUUUGCUCUUGUAUAAAGAAUUCCUUCAUAGAACUGAGCUACAUACUCCCUAAGACUUAUGGAAAGCACAGACAUCCUUCCCUAAUACUUAGUGAAAGCCCAGAGAAUAACUCAUUUCAUAUUCAUUUCAAUAUGGAUUGUAAACAAAUGCUUUUCUACCAGAAACAGAUCCGAGCUCAUCUCACUAAGGAACAAACAGAAAAGAGUAAACGCGCCAUAGCAUAGACUCAAAUCCAGAGCCAUCAGACACAAACGAACAGAGCAGAAAAGCCACUAUAAAACAAAACAGCAGCCCAGAAGCCGAACUCACUGAUAGAGUAAACGAGGAAACAGCAGCAACACAAUCACUUAUUUCUACUGCAAUACCGGAUAUCGAG